rnacentral:rRNA from 1 species
UAGGGAAUUUUGCGCAAUGGGGGAAACCCUGACGCAGCAACGCCGCGUGAUUGAUGAAGCCCUUCGGGGUGUAAAGAUCUGUCAGUGGGGACGAAAACUUGACGGUACCCACAGAGGAAGCACCGGCUAACUCCGUGCC